rnacentral:sRNA from 1 species
GCAGUGAAUUCUACAAAGAGGCUAUGGGAAAGAAACCUGGAAAGUACCCUUGGCUGUGUACAUUUGAGUAAAGAGAGCACUAUAAAAUCAAAAACCAAUGAAAUGGUUUCCAGAACACAGAACUAUUAAGCUUAAGAAAAGGACAGAAGGAACUGAAGAGAGAGGAACUGUUUUGGAGCAUCACACUUCCACCUCAGAAGAAAUAAGGAAGGAAGGAGGAGGGUGUUCCCACGGCUCUUCAACCAGGCGGGCUCUUCAGCCUACAUCCCCAUCUCAUCAAGUAAAAGGGAUUUUUCAACUGGACCAACCAGAUGGUUUAACAGUGCACUCCCACACCAUUCAACUACGCAAGGGAGAUACACUUAACAUAUGCAGUCGUAUAACACCUACUAACAUUUUCAAACAUUAAACCUUUAAAAAAGAGUUCUAAAGAAAUAGAAGCUUGAAGUAUCAUCUCUCAAGUAUAUAGACACUACUUCAUGGUGUGGUAAUAUAUGCAUAUAGAAGCUAGUAAACACCUCCAGGAGAUGCAAAAGGAAUUAGAACUGCCACAAGGUGCAAGCAAAACCUUGAGGUAAUCAAUCUGCAUCCCAUUUUGGAUGAGAAUAUUUGCAACUUUGAAGGUUAUUUUAAGGACAGCAGCAGAAGAAUUAUGGCAGCUUCUUUAAAAUAUGAAGACUUCAAAGUUAUUUAUCCAAACCAACCUGAUCAUUUCUUAAGAGUGAAUAUACCUUGGAAGAUGUGUCCUGCCUUUAGUAGCGUCACAAUGGAUUACAUCCUCUAUAAAGCAGUCUGGGAGGCUAACAUCUGCCACAAGACAAAUAUGGUGCCUGCCCCCAUGGAGCUCAUAUUCGAAUGGAGAAAAUGUCAACAAGUAUCCCACGGAGUGAACACUUCAAAAGGAGAAGCACAGGUGAGAAAAUCGAAUUUGGACACCGUUGAGGAGACUAUUGCAGUCAUCCAAGCUCAAGAUGGUGGAGCUUCAUCCUUGAGAAUAACCAAUGGGGAUAGAUUUAAGAGACACUUAGAGUCUGCAGCCAACAGGGCUGAAUGAGCAGAGAGUUAUGAUUCAGAAGAUCAUCUAAAAUUGAACAGCUGCCACUACUGGCAAUAAGUCUACUGCCAUUUGGUAGAUAACCUUCUUAUCACACAGAAAAAUAUCAGUACAGACAAAUAGACUGCAAAGAAAAUGAGACCAUCAGCAAAGAAGAUAAAGAAGUUUGUACAAAGCAACUUUUUAUAAAUGGAUGGCUGUCAGGCAAAAAUAAAUUUCCUGUGGACAAGACCAAGAGCAAGGCAAGAGGAAAAUAAACAUGUUUAAACUA